UACGGAGGGUGCAAGCGUUAAUCGGAUUCAUUGGGCGUAAAGAGCAUGUAGGCGGAGUGGAAAGUUAGAUGUGAAAGCCCGGGGCUCAACUCCGGAUCCGCAUCUAAAACUACCAUUCUGGAGGAUGGACGGAGAAAAGGGAAUUCCACGUGUAGCGGUGAAAUGCGUAGAUAUGUGGAAGAACACCGGUGGCGAAGGCGCUUUUCUAGUUUAUUCCUGACGCUGAGAUGCGAAAGCAAGGGGAGAAAACAGG
rnacentral:rRNA from 1 species